rnacentral:rRNA from 1 species
UACGUAGGGGGCGAGCGUUGUCCGGAAUUACUGGGCGUAAAGGGCGUGUAGGCGGUUGGAUAAGUCUGGUGUGAAAUUCUAGGGCUCAACCCUGGAGCUGCGCCGGAAACUGUUUGACUGGAGUUCGGUAGGGGUGACUGGAAUCCCCGGUGUAACGGUGAAAUGUGUAGAUAUCGGGGGGAACACCUGUGGCGAAGGCGGGUCACUGGGCCGCAACUGACGCUGAGACGCGAAAGCGUGGGGAG